UGCCAAACCCGUCCCGCCAAACCC
rnacentral:siRNA from 1 species